CGGGAUGAGCUCAAAUUUGAAAUCUGGCGUCUUUCAGGCGUCCGAGUUGUAAUCUAUAGAGGCGUUUUCCGCGCCGGACCGCGUCCAAGUCUCUUGGAAUAGAGUAUCAAAGAGGGUGACAAUCCCGUACUUGACGCGACAACCGGUGCUCUGUGAUACGUUCUCAAUGAGUCGAGUUGUUUGGGAAUGCAGCUCUAAAUGGGUGGUAAAUUCCAUCUAAGGCUAAAUAUUGGCGAGAGACCGAUAGCGAACAAGUACCGUGAGGGAAAGAUGAAAAGCACUUUGGAAAGAGAGUUAAACAGCACGUGAAAUUGUUAAAAGGGAAACGAUUGAAGUCAGUCGUGUGGGAAGUAUUCAGCCGUCUCUGGCGGUGUAUUUGCUUCUCACGGGUCAACAUCAGUUUGAUCCGGUAGAAAAAGGCGGGAAGAAGGUGGCACCCUCGGGUGUGUUAUAGCUUCCUGUCAUAUGUGCCGGACCAGACUGAGGA
rnacentral:rRNA from 1 species